rnacentral:lncRNA from 1 species
AAACACAAAAAACUUGUUUCUUUUUUGUUUCUUGCUUUCGUGCCCUCUGUUGUUCACCUGUGCUCUCUCUGUCUCAAGUCCCUCCCUUUUCCGAUGUCUCUCACAGGUUCUCUACUGUCAUCCUCUCCAGCGCCUCCCAACUCGUCAUUCUCUCCGACGCCGAUAGCUGCUACUCCUUCACCGGCUGAAGCUUCUGAUUCGAGGUAAGUUUCAUCCUUCACCGGCUAUUGCUCCUCCUUCACCAUUUGAUGAGGGCUUCGGCAAGAGCCACCCCUCGCAAAUCUGGGCGACGGUUGCUCGGGGCUCGAGCGUGACGGCUCGCUCGAGCCAGCGCUUGCCCAAAUCUGCGAGACGCUUGCUCAAGCGAGCCCUCGCGCUCGAGCCCCAAGUGAGCAUCUCGCAAACGCUCGCCCAGAUCUGCGGCAACAUCUGCUCGCUUGAGUGAGUGUCGCUACUUUGCUCGCUCGAGCGAGCAGAUCAGCGACGCUUAUAAUCGAUUACCUGGUUACAAUGUAAGAACUUGUGCUUGGCUAGCGAGCAUGGCAAGCAAAGCAGCGACGCUUAUAAUCGAUUACCUGGUUACAAUGUAAGAACUUGUG